CCUACGGGAGGAGGCAGCAGGGAAUUUUGCACAAUGGACGGAAGUCUGAUGUAGCGACGCCGCGUGGGUGAAGAAGGCCUUCGGGUUGUAAAGCCCUUUUCUGGGGGAAGAGGAAGGACGGUACUCCAGGAAUAAGUGUCGGCUAACUGCGUGCCAGCAGCCGCGGUAAU
rnacentral:rRNA from 1 species